UACGGAGGAUCCGAGCGUUAUCCGGAUUUAUUGGGUUUAAAGGGAGCGUAGGUGGAUUGUUAAGUCAGUUGUGAAAGUUUGCGGCUCAACCGUAAAAUUGCAGUUGAAGCUGGCAGUCUUGAGUACAGUAGAGGUGGGCGGAAUUCGUGGUGUAGCGGUGAAAUGCUUAGAUAUCACGAAGAACUCCGAUUGCGAAGGCAGCUCACUAGACUGCAACUGACACUGAUGCUCGAAAGUGUGGGUAUCAAACAGG
rnacentral:rRNA from 1 species